CAGUCGCCGCGGGAAUACGUAGGGUGCAAGCGUUAAUCGGAAUUACUGGGCGUAAAGCGUGCGCAGGCGGUUCGGAAAGACAGAUGUGAAAUCCCCGGGCUCAACCUGGGAACUGCAUUUGUGACUGGCAAGCUAGAGUCUGGCAGAGGGGGGUGGAAUUCCGCGUGUAGCAGUGAAAUGCGUAGAUAUGCGGAGGAACACCGAUGGCGAAGGCAGCCCCCUGGGCCAACACUGACGCUCAUGCACGAAAGCGUGGGGAGCAAACAGGAUUAGAUACCCCUGUAGUCCCUGUCUCUUAUAC
rnacentral:rRNA from 1 species